rnacentral:rRNA from 1 species
CAAUAACGUAUAUUAAAGUUGUUGCGGUUAAAAAGCUCGUAGUUGGAUUUCUGUCGAGAUUGACCGGUCCUCCCUCCGGGAGCGUAUCUGGUUCGGUUUUGGCAUCCUCCUAUAGCACGUUUCUGGCCUUCAUUGACUAGAGCGGGAUGUAGGACUUUUACUUUGAGGAAAUCCGAGUGUUUACGGCAGGCAAUCGCCCUGAAGAUAUUAGCAUGGAAUAAUAAUAUAGGACCUUGGCCCUAUUUUGUUGGUUUCUAGAGCUAAGGUAAUGAUUAAUAGGGAUAUUUGGGGGCAUUCGUACUAACCGGUCAGAGGUGGAAUUCUUGGAUUCGGUUAUGACGAACGACUGCGAAAGCAUUUGUCAAGAAUGUUUUCAUUGA